rnacentral:rRNA from 1 species
GAUGAACGCUAGCGACAGGCUUAACACAUGCAAGUCGAGGGGCAGCGGGGUUGAAGCUUGCUUCAACUGCCGGCGACCGGCGCACGGGUGAGUAACACGUAUGCAACCUGCCCGUCACAGGGGAAUAACCGGAAGAAAUUCCGACUAAUUCCGCGUAACACUGUUAUCAGGCAUCUGGUGACAGUCAAAGGAGAGAUCCGGUGACGGAUGGGCAUGCGGCGCAUUAGCUAGUCGGCGGGGUAACGGCCCACCGAGGCGACGAUGCGUAGGGGUUCUGAGAGGAAGGUCCCCCACACUGGUACUGAGACACGGACCAGACUCCUACGGGAGGCAGCAGUGGGGAAUAUUGGGCAAUGGGCGCAAGCCUGACCCAGCAACGCCGCGUGAAGGAAGAAGGUCUUCGGAUUGUAAACUUUUGUGUCAGUGAAGAAAAAGGCUGUAACUGACGAGAAAGCCCCGGCUAACUACGUGCCAGCAGCCGCGGU